rnacentral:rRNA from 1 species
GCCCAGCUUGCUGGGUGGAUUAGUGGCGAACGGGUGAGUAACACGUGAGUAACCUGCCCCUGACUCUGGGAUAAGCGUUGGAAACGACGUCUAAUACUGGAUAUGAUCACUGGCCGCAUGGUCUGGUGGUGGAAAGAUUUUUUGGUUGGGGAUGGACUCGCGGCCUAUCAGCUUGUUGGUGAGGUAAUGGCUCACCAAGGCGACGACGGGUAGCCGGCCUGAGAGGGUGACCGGCCACACUGGGACUGAGACACGGCCCAGACUCCUACGGGAGGCAGCAGUGGGGAAUAUUGCACAAUGGGCGAAAGCCUGAUGCAGCAACGCCGCGUGAGGGAUGACGGCCUUCGGGUUGUAAACCUCUUUUAGUAGGGAAGAAGCGAAAGUGACGGUACCUGCAGAAAAAGCACCGGCUAACUACGUGCCAGCAGCCGCGGUAAUACGUAGGGUGCAAGCGUUGUCCGGAAUUAUUGGGCGUAAAGAGCUCGUAGGCGGUUUGUCGCGUCUGCUGUGAAAUCCCGAGGCUCAACCUCGGGCUUGCAGUGGGUACGGGCAGACUAGAGUGCGGUAGGGGAGAUUGGAAUUCCUGGUGUAGCGGUGGAAUGCGCAGAUAUCAGGAGGAACACCGAUGGCGAAGGCAGAUCUCUGGGCCGUAACUGACGCUGAGGAGCGAAAGCAUGGGGAGCGAACAGGAUUAGAUACCCUGGUAGUCCAUGCCGUAAACGUUGGGCGCUAGAUGUAGGGACCUUUCC